AUUUGCCAUGCUCUUCCUCUCCCUUCCAACUCCACCUACAGAUACCACCACCAAGUGACUGAAGCGCUGAACAAAGGGGAGAGCCUGGCUGAAGGGCAACCAGACAGCCUGCGCACUCCCUCAGUCACACGAUGCUGCAGGCUUUGGCUAUCCAAUGUCUCCAGAGGCUUGCAUGCAGAGGAAUGAAAAGGAAAUAUUUUGAAACUAAGAGUCUGGGCUUAUUUAUUUAUUUAUCUGAGAAUGGACAGCUGAAGCCCCGAGGACACACAAUUUGGUUACGCUAAGCAUCUGGUACUAAAGGACACUAAUAUCAGUUAAAGCUUUAACUGGAAUUGCAAAGAAAUAAGUGACAUCAGUGUACCUUCCACAUUGAGGGUCAGUAUCAACUAUAAUUCAAAGAACAUUAUACUGGGAAUUUCAACACAGAAAAUCUGUGGAGAGUGAUGAAGAGUGAGAACAGCCUGUAGAAAGUGUAUAUU